rnacentral:rRNA from 1 species
CCUACGGGGGGCUGCAGUCGAGAAUCAUUCGCAAUGGGCGAAAGCCUGACGGUGCGACGUCGCGUGGAGGAUGACGGUCUUCGGAUUGUAAACUCCUGUCAUGUGGGAUAAAUAGCCCGGGUGUGAAUAGCACUUGGGACUGAUAGUACCACAGGAGGAAGAGACGGCUAACUCUGUGCCAGCAGCCGCGGUAAUUCAGAGGUCUCGAGCGUUGUUCGGAUUUACUGGGCGUAAAGGGAGCGUAGGCGGCCGGGUGUGUCGAAUGUGAAAGCCCACAACUCAACUGUGGAAUGGCAUUCGAAACUACCUGGCUAGAGUACUGGAGAGGAGAGCGGAAUUCUUGGUGUAGCGGUGAAAUGCGUAGAUAUCAAGAGGAACACCGGUGGCGAAGGCGGCUCUCUGGACAGAUACUGACGCUGAGGCUCUAAAGUUAGGGGAGCAAACAGGAUUAGAUACCCUGGUAGUC